rnacentral:lncRNA from 1 species
GGCUGAUUUCUUAGUGUCGGAACUGCAUCCAGGCAGCACUAGGUGGCAAUGUUGCUACAACGAAAACUCCCAUCGCUCCACUCCAGCAGAGACCCCCGCCACCCUUUGCAGACAAUGCAAAGAGCUGUCACUGCUUCGGCAUCGUUUGGGUUGGCCAAGACUGCACCGAGGUCAUCAAUGCUUUUAGACUCAGUCUGAGAUGGAACGAUGACAUUGGAGACCUUCCGGCUGUACCCAGAACUGCUUGGCCAGCUGAGGACUCUGCCUGACACAUUCACACCUAGAUGUCCCAUUCUGCAAGGUGUGAAAAGCAAUGAGAGGUACCAGUGCUGAACACUUUGUGUCAGCAAAGAUCACCAGAGCCAUGUGCCCUUCUUAGAUGGUAAUGGAUAAUUUCCCCAUAGCCUCAGUACCAGCACCUAAGAUUCUCAUAAAAACAUUGCCUUAGCUCAUGUGUCGAUCACAG